rnacentral:snRNA from 1 species
UUACUUGCUUGGCAGCACAGAUAUUAAAAUUGGAAAGACACAGAGAAGGUUAACACAGCCCCUGCGCAAGGAUGACACGCACAUUCAUGAAAUGUUCCAUAUUUUA